UCGAUGCCCUCGAGGUCGUGGUUGCCGCCGACGAUGUCGUACUUGUGGCCGAAGCCGUCGAGGAACUCGCGCACCAUCUUGAAGCAGUCGGUGGUGCCGGCGAAGAGCUGCUUGGACUCGUUGACGUCCUUGGACUCGCCGAGGUCGCCGAGGGAGACGAGGAAGGGGUUGGGGGACUCGUCGAGGAUCUUCUUGAUGUGAUCGCGGCCCUCGUAAGAGUGCUCGGUGUCGCGCGGGUCCAUGUGGAGGUCGCCGAGGAUGGCGAGGGUGUAGUUGGAGGGGUCGCCGGGGGUGAUGGUCAGGCUGGUGGGGGUGGCGGAGGCCUGGACCCUCAUGGACGCGGGGCGCGCCGCGCGAAGGGUG
rnacentral:lncRNA from 1 species